UACGAAGGGGGCUAGCGUUGUUCGGAAUUACUGGGCGUAAAGCGCGCGCAGGCGGUUUCUCAAGUCAGUGGUGAAAGCCCGGAGCUCAACUCCGGAACUGCCAUUGAAACUGUGAGACUUGAGGACGAGAGAGGUGAGUGGAAUUCCCAGUGUAGAGGUGAAAUUCGUAGAUAUUGGGAAGAACACCGGUGGCGAAGGCGGCUCACUGGCUCGUUUCUGACGCUCAGGCGCGACAGCGUGGGGAUCGAAACAGGA
rnacentral:rRNA from 1 species